rnacentral:rRNA from 1 species
AUUGAACGCUGGCGGCAUGCCUUACACAUGCAAGUCGAACGGCAGCACGGGAGCAAUCCUGGUGGCGAGUGGCGAACGGGUGAGUAAUAUAUCGGAACGUGCCCAGUCGUGGGGGAUAACGUAGCGAAAGCUACGCUAAUACCGCAUACGAUCUACGGAUGAAAGCGGGGGAUCGCAAGACCUCGCGCGAUUGGAGCGGCCGAUAUCAGAUUAGCUAGUUGGUGAGGUAAAGGCUCACCAAGGCGACGAUCUGUAGCUGGUCUGAGAGGACGACCAGCCACACUGGAACUGAGACACGGUCCAGACUCCUACGGGAGGCAGCAGUGGGGAAUUUUGGACAAUGGGCGCAAGCCUGAUUCAGCAAUGCCGCGUGCAGGAUGAAGGCCUUCGGGUUGUAAACUGCUUUUGUACAGAACGAAACGGUCCUUUCUAAUACAAAGGGCUAAUGACGGUACUGUAAGAAUAAGCACCGGCUAACUACGUGCCAGCCGCCGCCGUAA